rnacentral:tRNA from 1 species
AAAAAGAUAAGCUAAUUAAGCUAAUAGGUUCAUACCCUUUUCAUGGAAGUAAUAAUCUUCCUCUUUUUA